UAGCUGCGUUAAGUGGUGUGAAUUGCAGGACACGCCGAGCACUAAAUUUUCGAACGCAUAUUGCGGCUUCGGGUUUACCCGAAGCCUCGUCUGUCUGAGGGUCGGUUUAAUUUGACAUAGUACGAGUCUUGUCGAUGUAUGGCCGUUAUUACAAGUUGCUAACAUCGUCGGACUUUGACGACGCGACAGUUGCCAUAGGUUGGUAGCAAUGUCGUUGCAGCACAACGUGUCUGUGACGCGCAUUGUCAUUCUCGAUUACCAACCAGCAAUGUUGUUGCGUGUUUGUAAUACAUUGUCGGCGGCAAUUGCCGUCGGCAUUACAAAACAUUUACCGUCGACCUCAGAUCAGUCGAGAUUACCCGCUGAAUUUAA
rnacentral:misc_RNA from 1 species